AGAGUUUGAUCCUGGCUCAGAACGAACGCUGGCGGCACGCUUAACACAUGCAAGUCGAACGGAGGUACUUGUACCUCAGUGGCAAACGGGUGAGUAACACGUGGGAAUCUACCUUUCGGUGGGGGAUAACUGGGGGAAACUUCAGCUAAUACCGCAUGCGCUCAGAAAUGAGGAAAGAUUUAUCGCCGAGAGAGGGGCCCGCGUCAGAUUAGGUUGUUGGUGGGGUAAUGGCCUACCAAGCCUGCGAUCUGUAGCUGGUCUGAGAGGAUGAUCAGCCACACUGGGAUUGAGACACGGUCCAGACUCCUACGGGAGGCAGCAGUGGGGAAUAUUGCACAAUGGGGGAAACCCUGAUGCAGCGACGCCGCGUGAGCGAAGAAGGUUUUCGGAUCGUAAAGCUCUGUCCUUGGGGAAGAAAAUGACGGUACCCAAGGAGGAAGCCCCGGCUAACUACGUGCCAGCAGCCGCGGUAAUACGUAGGGGGCGAGCGUUGUCCGGAAUUACUGGGCGUAAAGGGUACGUAGGCGGUUAAUUAAGUCAGGUGUAAAAGGCAUAGGCUCAACCUGUGUAAGCAUCUGAAACUGGAUAACUUGAGUAUAGGAGAGGUAAGUGGAAUUCCUAGUGUAGCGGUGAAAUGCGUAGAUAUUAGGAGGAACACCAGUGGCGAAGGCGACUUACUGGACUAUUACUGA
rnacentral:rRNA from 1 species